UUUAUUUACCGUAAGUAAACGUUAAGUUGGCAGUAUAUCGAACUAAAUAUUUAUUAAAAUUGACCAUAUUUUCUUCAGCGAACGAAUAAAGGUUCGUCUAUUAUCGCAGUCUACUUUUAGGGGAUGAAUACCGCAAUUUUCUGAAUUACAGCCCGAAAGACGGAGAAUAGAUCAGGCUAUCCACCGGUAGCGAUGGGAUUCCCUGUGUCUCGUGAUUUCGUAUGUCGACGUAUAUUUUACACAGCUCCUUCCAGGUAUAUGGUAGCUGAUAGUAAAUGGCGCUGACUGUGAUACGUGAUAACGAAACACCCAGCAUUAGAUAGUCUGUUACUUGUGUAUAGUAUAUAUAAAAAAGGCACAUGUGUGUGUCUGUGAUCACGGGGCGUUGCAUUCUUUUUCAACUUACCAUAGUAACGUCAUCUAUUUUUGAGAUACUUCGAACAAAUAUGUUGACGCGGACAACCGCGGGCCCAUCUAACAUGGCAAACAGAACAAACAAAAUUAAUCAAUCGUUGAGCAGCAAUCAGAUACAUCGAGGUAGAGAUGUGUGCGUGUGUGUGGUAUGAUGAAAUUCUUAGAUCCCCUUCUGAAUCACCUGCGAUUGACGAUGAGUUGUGAGAUGUGCUUAAUGUAGCUUAUAUCUUAUAUUUGUUCGAUAUUCAUUAUGUCUGUUCAAAAUUUUAGAAUUUGUUAUUUUCUUUUUUUUUUUCUUUUUUUUUUUUUCGUUCGACGGUCUCAUUUAUUAGUCCGGCGAUCUUCCAGCGUCGUUCAGACUAUCUUUCGACUAUCCGUUGCCAUUUCCUUGCCCCCUGUGUUACGUUCGAACGAAAUCUGAUUUAACGCCUGACGGACGUUUCAGCGCGUUUAUCAUCGUUAAAAUGUAACGUUCCGAUAUA